AUUGAACGCUGGCGGCAGGCCUAACACAUGCAAGUCGAGCGGAUGAAGGGAGCUUGCUCCUGGAUUCAGCGGCGGACGGGUGAGUAAUGUCUAGGAAUCUGCCUGGUAGUGGGGGAUAACGUCCGGAAACGGGCGCUAAUACCGCAUACGUCCUGAGGGAGAAAGUGGGGGAUCUUCGGACCUCACGCUAUCAGAUGAGCCUAGGUCGGAUUAGCUAGUUGGUGGGGUAAAGGCCUACCAAGGCGACGAUCCGUAACUGGUCUGAGAGGAUGAUCAGUCACACUGGACCUGAGACACGGUCCAGACUCCUACGGGAGGCAGCAGUGGGGAAUAUUGGACAAUGGGCGAAAGCCUGAUCCAGCCAUGCCGCGUGUGUGAAGAAGGUCUUCGGAUUGUAAAGCACUUUAAGUUGGGAGGAAGGGCAGUAAGUUAAUACCUUGCUGUUUUGACGUUACCAACAGAAUAAGCACCGGCUAACUUCGUG
rnacentral:rRNA from 1 species